rnacentral:lncRNA from 1 species
GCUUCCUCUGAAGUUUUUGAUUUCUUGAUUUGCAAUUAAUUUUGAUUUAUUCUACAAUUUAUGGCAAUCAUUUAUCAAUUACCCAUUUUUCUUGCAAUUAAUUACAAUAUUUAAAUUUUGAUUUUGACUUACCCCUUACACGACCAACAAUGAAGCCAAUUCCAUGACCCUCAGAUACUACAAGUUCUUCAUCUUCUCCUUUGAAUAUAGAGCAUCUAAACUUCUUCGAUAGUGAGAUUAUCAUGACCAUGAAAAAUCGUGUCUCUAAAAGAC